rnacentral:tRNA from 2 species
CCUUAGCUCAGUUGGUCAGAGCAUCCGGCUCAUAACCGGGCGGUCGCAGGUUCGAGUCCUGCAGGGUCC